rnacentral:rRNA from 1 species
CCUACGGGAGGCAGCAGUGGGGAAUUUUGGACAAUGGGGGAAACCCUGAUCCAGCCAUUCCGCGUGAGUGAAGAAGGCCUUCGGGUUGUAAAGCUCUUUCGGCAGGAAAGAAAUCGCCCGCUCUAACAUAGCGGGUGGAUGACGGUACCUGAAGAAGAAGCACCGGCUAACUACGUGC